CCUUUUUUUAUAUUUCCUGUCUUUGAGCACAUCAUUUCACUCUGAAAACUCCACUUGCAUGGGUCAUCAUCAAGGGAGAGGUCCAAGGGUUUUCUUUGAGCAUUUUCUUUAAUUCCAAACAAUCCUAAGAAGUAGCGAGCAACUAUCAGUCUCAUUACAGAGAAAUCCUGCCGCCCUUUGCAGCGCGCGGCGGUGUCUGGCUCACAGCCCAUCAUCUGUGAUGGUCGCAGCCCGGGGAAGUCUGACCCACACUGCAGUCAGGAAAAGCCAGCGGGGGUGCCUGGCUGCAGAGGCAAGAACAGGGCAUGGAGUCUUGCGGCCCCAAUAAUCAUCUGGUUGGGAAAAGCCACAUCUCAGGGCACACAAGGAAAACACGAGGUGCUGAAGGCAUUCCAGGAGGGAGCCGUCAUUCAAAUCCACCCGGGAGCUCGAGUGUCGCCCUGGCG